CCCCUCUCAGGGUCGCACCUGGCGAGUUUCCAGUCCUCUACCAGUCUCGACUAUGAGAGGGAGAGUCAAGCAGAGGCUUACCCAUUCCAUUCCUAGCUUGACCGGUGGCUAGUGAGUGAAAGGCAAUCUACUACAAGU
rnacentral:snoRNA from 1 species